GAAUCAUUAAUUUAUUUAAUGAUAAAGGAUUUUGGAAAAUAAUGAUAUUCCUGUCCUAUAAGUGUUGUCUAAAGACUGGUGCCAGAAGACUCGGUAAGGCCAGAAACGCUAACGUUAAUAGUCUUGAUCAGGCGUAAAGGGUUCGUAGGCAUCUCUGUAUAAAAUUAACCUUUUAGAAAAAAGGGCUAAAUCGCCUGUUGUAGGCAAGCUGAAAAGUUAGCAAACAACCAGGAAAAUUAGUGACCUAGGCUAUAAUAAAAGAUAAAAAUUUUAAUAGAAACAGAGAUAGAAUCUUAUCCGUGACAAAGAUAAAUGCCAGAAGUAAGGGUGAAAUCUAUAGAAAUCUGGUGGAAGACUCUGGGCGAAAGCUAUAUGUCUAGAAAAGAUUGACGCUAAAGAACGUAGGUUGGGUUAAGAAAAAAGGAUUAGAUACCCAAGUAUUCCCAUCUGUUAACGAUGAAUAGUAGUCCUUCAGUAAAUUUAACCUAUAUAAAAGCAUAAAUUUUUCAUUGUUUUAUCAAUGUUAUUUUAUCCUUACCUAAUCUUUCUUUUUUCAAUAGUUAUUGGGCAAAGCCUGCCCUUUCUGUAUAAAUUUUUGUGUUUUUUUGUAGGGUAAAGCCGGUCCAUCUAUCACAUUUAAUAAUAUAGGGAUAACAUUAAAGAGGAAUAUUUAGGUUUAGUGUUAAAUAUAUAAAUUGUGAGGCGAAGCUAACGCAAUUACUGUUCCGCCUUGUAAGUACGACUGCAAAGUUGAAAACAAAAAAAUUAGUCGGUCUCGGAGCAAACGAAGUG
rnacentral:rRNA from 1 species